UCUAGAACUCGAGAUAUGGGCUGAACACUGAAUAGUGUCUGGGCUGCAGGACAGAUUCAGACUUCUUCGUUGUUGCUAUAAUUUGGACUUGAAAACGGCCUUGUUAAAUCUUGGACUCCUAUGAAAGUUAUAGACCUAUGUCUUAGCUUUCCAUC
rfam:Populus trichocarpa scaffold_7_contig_64, whole genome shotgun sequence.